AGUGAACGCUGGCGGUAGGCCUAAUACAUGCAAGUCGAACGGCCGCACAGUAAGAGCUUGCUCUUACGGGUGGCGAGUGGCGGACGGGUGAGGAAUACAUCGGAAUCUACUUUUUCGUGGGGGAUAACGUAGGGAAACUUACGCUAAUAUAGCAUACGACCUACGGGUUAAAGCAGUGGAUCUUCGGACCUUGCUCGUUUGAAUUAGCCGAUGUCUGAUUAUCUAGUUUGUGGGGUAAAGGCCCAACAAGGCGACGAUCUGUAGCUGGUAUGAGAGGAGGAUCACCCACACUGGAACUGAGAAAGGCUCAAGCCUCCUAGGGGGGGCAGCAGUGGGAAAUAUUGGACAAUGAGGAAAAGCCGAAUGCUGCAAUACGGGGUAGGUGAAGAAGGCCUUCGGGUGGUAAAGUCCGUUGGAUGGGAAAAAAGGGUGGCAGGUUGAUAACUCGAUGUUGUGACGGUACCCAAAGAGUAAGCACCGGCUAACUUCGUG
rnacentral:rRNA from 1 species